rnacentral:lncRNA from 1 species
AGUUUUCUGAGACUAAGAGAUCACUAAGACCUAAAGAAUUACUAAUUUCUAAGGGUCUACUAGUUCUUAAAUAAUUAUUAAUUUUUUUACCUUUGGAGAAAUAUGAUGUUUCAAGAAUUUCUUCAGACAAAGAGAUUGAACUAGAGGGAGACUGGUUUAAGGUAGACUGGUUCAAAGGUUUAAAUUCAAUUAAGAAGUCUGGCUAGAUCUUCAAAUUGCAC